GUGACGAAGCGACGCCGCGUGUGGGAAGAAGGCCUUCGGGUUGUAAACCACUGUCAGGAGUUAAGAAAUGUAAGGGUGCUAAUAGUAUCCUUACUUGACUAAGGCUCCAGAGGAAGCCACGGCUAACUCUGUGCCAGCAGCCGCGGUAAUACAGAGGUGGCAAGCGUUGUUCGGAAUUAUUGGGCGUAAAGGGCACGUAGGCGGUUCUGCAAGUCGGCUGUGAAAGCCUUCCGCUCAACGGAAGAACAGCAGUUGAUACUACAGGACUAGAGUGCGGGAGGGGAGAGUGGAACUUCUGGUGGAGCGGUGAAAUGCGUAGAUAUCAGAAGGAACGCCGGCGGCGAAAGCGACUCUCUGGCCCGUAACUGACGCUGAGUGUGCGAAAGCUAGGGGAGCAAACGGGAUUAGAUACCCCGGUAGUCCCAGCCGUAAACGAU
rnacentral:rRNA from 1 species